CAGCCGCCGCGGUAAUACGUAGGGGGCGAGCGUUGUCCGAAGUUACUGGGCGUAAAGAGCGCGUAGGCGGGUCUUUAAGUGAGGGGUGAAAGGUUCAGGGCUCAACCCGGACACUGCCUUUCAUACUGGAGACCUUGAGUGUGGGAGAGGCGAGUGGAAUGGUCGGUGUAGCGGUGAAAUGCGUAGAUAUCGAUCGGAACACCCAUGGCGAAGGCAGCUCGCUGGCCUAUAACUGACGCUGAGGCGCGAAAGCGUGGGGAGCAAACAUGAUUAGAUACCCCCGUAGUCCCUGUCUCUUAUA
rnacentral:rRNA from 1 species